GUGAUACUAUAUGCAUUUGAGAGUUAAAAGCUGGUGCUGAUCAAAGCCUCUGUAGAAAUUUUUCCCUGACAACCAGAUGAAACUUGGAACUAGAGUGGUUAAGGCUGUUAGCCUGCCAAGAGAGCCAUGGUGAACAACAAGAAAACCUCCAGAUGUGCAAAAGGUUUCUGUGCUGCACAGUCAAUAGGAGGAAAAUAACAAAACGUUCAGAAUAAAGAAGACCUCAUUUCCACAGACCAAGUAUAGACUGUCCUACAUCCCUGGAAAAGUGCUACUAUGCCAAAUAACAAGAAGAGGUGUGAUCUGAUUAUUUGAGGGCUCAAUGUACUUACAAAGCACUCCUAUAUCUGUAUGAACAAUAUGAAUGAAGA